rnacentral:misc_RNA from 1 species
UCCGGUUUGUCACCGGCAGUCUCAUUAGAGUGCUCUUUCGUAGCAACUAAUGACAAGGGUUGCGCUCGUUGCGGGACUUAACCCAACAUCUCACGACACGAGCUGACGACAGCCAUGCAGCACCUGUGUUACCGUUCCCUUUCGGGCACGCCCGCCUCUCGGCGGGCUUCGGUACAUGUCAAGGGUAGGUAAGGUUUUUCGCGUUGCAUCGAAUUAAUCCACAUAAUCCACCGCUUGUGCGGGUCCCCGUCAAUUCCUUUGAGUUUUAAUCUUGCGACCGUACUCCCCAGGCGGUCAACUUCACGCGUUAGCUGCGUUACCAAGCCCGUUAAGGCCCGACAACUAGUUGACAUCGUUUAGGGCGUGGACUAA